GAGUAACACAUGGCUGACCUGCCCUUCAGGGGGGGACAACCCGUGGAAACACGGGCUAAUACCCCAUACGGUCGAAGGGGUUAGAGACCCUUCGAAGAAAGCGUGAGUGCUGAAGGAGGGGGCUGUGGCCCAUCAGCUAGUUGGUAGGGUAAAGGCCUACCAAGGCGAGGACGGGUAGGGGGCCUGAGAGGGUGACCCCCCACACGGGUACUGAGACACGGACCCNACUCCUACGGGAGGCAGCAGUAAUGGAUAUUGCGCAAUGGGCGAAAGCCUGACGCAGCAACGCCGCGUGC
rnacentral:rRNA from 1 species